AUUCCAGCUCCAAUAGCGUAUAUUUAAGUUGUUGCAGUUAAAAAGCUCGUAGUUGGAUUUCGGAUGUGAACGACCGGUCCGCCGUUGCGGUGUGCACUGGACGUUUGUAUCUUGUUGUCGGGGACGCGCACCUUGCCUUAACUGGUCGGGACGCGGAGUCGGCGCUGUUACUUUGAAAAAAUUAGAGUGUUCAAAGCAGGCAACCGCUCUGAAUACAUUAGCAUGGAAUAACGCUAUAGGACUCUGGUCUUAUUGUGUUGGUCUUCGAGACCGGAGUAAUGAUUAAGAGGGACAGUUGGGGGCAUUCGUAUUUCAUUGUCAGAGGUGAAAUUCUUGGAUUUAUGAAAGACGAACUUCUGCGAAAGCAUUUGCCAAGGAUGUUUUCAUCA
rnacentral:rRNA from 1 species